rnacentral:rRNA from 1 species
UACGAAGGGGGCUAGCGUUGCUCGGAAUCACUGGGCGUAAAGCGCACGUAGGCGGCUUUUUAAGUCAGGGGUGAAAUCCUGGAGCUCAACUCCAGAACUGCCUUUGAUACUGAGAAGCUUGAGUCCGGGAGAGGUGAGUGGAACUGCGAGUGUAGAGGUGAAAUUCGUAGAUAUCGCAAGAACACCAGUGGCGAAGGGCGGCUCACUGGCCCGGUACUGACGCUGAGGUGCGAAAGCGUGGG